UAUUCAAAUCCAUCAGUUACAACCCCUCCAAUAUUUCAACAUGAAAAUCACAGUAGAUCAAAUGAAAAAUAUGUAGAAUUACUUUAUUUUGUGACAAUAAUUUUGUUCCUAAUCAAAUAUGAGUUUGUCAUAAUAAAUUAGACAAAAAAUACUCCCCCUCCAUUGAACCGAUUGGUAACGCCCAACCAAUGAGUCGCACUUUCACCAAAACAACGCGAGUGGUGUUUGAAUGGGAGAGCACACGGGUAACUUAACGUACGCCAAAAAUGAAGAGAAGCGCUGCACAGCGGACUAUAUUUAACUGCUGGUCAGAGAGGGAUGCAAAAAAAUAAUAAUAAAGCAUGUACUGAGAAUGAGGUUUUGAGGCCAGCUCUGCAAACGCUCGGUUAUAAUGGGCAUUGAAGACACUUGAAAGUGUCAGGAACGUGGAGUGGUGAGGACAUGGACAGUGGACCCAGGUGCAGACAGCGGGUAGGAAGAAGUUCCACCAUGUCCAGACGACCGACAGAUGCCCAUCCCCAAUUUGAGAUUACGCCAGCUACAGCUGCAGACUGACUGACCAUCCCAGCUCCAUCUAAGGCAAUUCCACCACCAGCCAAGAGAAAUAUGACCAUCGGACCAUCACAGCUCAGACCACUACAUCCCCAACCAAGAGCAAAAGAUGGACUAUUUGUCUUAUUAAUGCUGAAGUUACAAUGUUUGGUAUUAAAUGCUAAACUAAACUAAACUAAACUAAAAUCACAUGUCACCAGUUUGAGUGCAGCUAUGACAUGUCAGAGGGGAUCUGGCCCUCCCGGUUGAGCCUGGUUUCUCCCAAGGUUUUUUUCUCCAUUAAUCAAUCAUUGGAGUUUGGGUUCCUGGCCACAGCAGGGCAGUGUUGGCCUGCUCACCGGGAGACUGCAUUCAUUCAUUUAUUUAUUUAAUUAGAAAUUAGAUAUUAUUUAUUAGAAUGAUCUUACUCGUUGUAUAAAUACCAUGCACUGUGCUGUGUUUUAACUUUUCUGUUUUUCCUGUUUGCCCCUGUAAAGCUGCUUUGAAACAAUACACAUUGUGAAAAGCGCUAUAUAAAUAAACUUGAAUUGAAUUGAAUGAACCAGCACAGGACAAGAAACACAAGGUCAAUAAAUAGGGAAAAUAAUCAAAAAGGGACAGGUGUGGGGCAUAACUAAUUAACAUGAAAUAUUGAGACGAAAGAGCGGGAAACACAGAAUAGACUAAGAGAGAGAGUAUGGCGUUUAAAGAGGCCCAAAAACCUCUCUUUCUACAAGAAACAAGGGAUCCUGCACUGGCUCUGCCACAAGACCAAUAAAUAUAAGACUGAUGAGGCAGAACCCUGACAGGAAGUAAACGACCACCGCUUUGAUUGGAUAGCAGUUUGCAUAGUUGGAGCCUUCUGUGAAUUUGGUUUGAGACGUAACGUAAGGUUACGCAUUAGCACCAUUCACAGUUUUCGUAGGGCAUUAGUAUUACCUGGAGACCUCCUGUGAUUUAUAAAUGACCUCCCCACGUCAGUAUCUCAUCUUUCGUGUGACGCAUUCGUACGGGAUUAGUUUACUCAAAUUACAUUUACAUUUAGUCAUUUAGCAGACGCUUUUAUCCAAAGCGACUUACAGUGCACUUAUUACAGGGACAAUCCCCCUGGAGCAACAUGGAGUAAAUUGUCUUGCUCAAGGACACACUGGUGGUGGCUGCUGUGAUCGAACCAGCAACCUUUGAUUUAACAGUUCAGUGGUUUAACCCACUAGACCACCAUAUCCAAAUUACUGACUUGCUUGCUGGAUGUGAUGGCAAGGCUUUGCGUAUAGUUUGUAUAGCCUAUACUUGUAUUAUGUUUAAUGAUAUAUGACCGUACCUGUCAGCAUUAGAUCACCGCGAUCGCAGGUCUCAAAUGUUACAAGAGAUUCCAUGAUAAAUAAACAAACAGGAGACUCCCUGUAAUUUAUGGAUAUCACCCAGCACCCAAAAUAAUACCAAAACACUUCAAAGCAGCCUCCAUUAUUCGCAAACGGUGUAUAAAGCCUUGAAAAAUUAUGUAUGAGCCAACCAAAUUACAGAGACGUCGAUUCGCACUGGCUUAAGAUCGCAGACAACCUCUGCAAUUAAUACAAAUGACUAGAGUUCCCCAGGUAAUACUAAUCUUGUGCGAAUAGGGUUUAGGGCACUUCAAGCGAUCUCUAACAAAGCAACAGUGAAAAAAAGUACAAAAAUGUUUUACUCACAUAUGAUUGGUGUGCCAUUCCUAUCGGAUCCAAUAUUGAAGGCACAGCACUGCUUUUUAAUUUUAAACUCUCCACAAAUUCAGUGUCGACCUGUGCCUUAUUCACUCUUCUGUCAUGCGAGAACCAGUGGGCGGGGCUAGAGAAGUAGUUGUUGAUUUUUUUCUGUGGAGGUGGUGUUCAACCUAUCAAUGUCAUUAAAGAAAUGUGCAUUCCAGAACCUGGCAUUCGCUGGGGAUGGUGUCAAUAACAAAUCUCAGUAACAAGGGCAUUUUCAGUUCUGAUACUUACAUGAUGUUCACGUGAAUACAAUUCCUUCUUAUAUAACAAAGCUUGUGUUAAAAUUGUAAUUUUCGUUUUCUUUCCCGAACAUCUUUUCUCCAAAAUAUGACAGCAAAGGCUGAAUUCUCUCUCUGAGGGGUGAAGGUUUGAAGCAUAUAUUUCGCAAGCUUAGUCAUACUUAAAAGCGUUACAUCAGUAACAUCCCGCUUGAAGGAUUUUGUGUAUGUCUUUUUUAUAGGUCACCCUUUGACUAUUUCCUGACGUAAUUACUCUAAACGUAUGAUCUGUUACACUGUGCCUCUGCCCUACCCUUAGUUAACAUAUCUGUUAAGGUAUGAUGCAAAUGGCCGAAGCACAUAACUGAUGGCCCUUCUAUUCUGUCCAUUGUAAGUUCUCCAGUUGGAGGUACUAAUGGUAUAACCUAACCUAUUUUUUGAAGGUAAUGUUUUACCAGGUACAAAGGUCUGCUCACACAGAGAGUACCUUAGGUUAAGACAUGGUAAAGAAUGUAGAAGGUUUGCAC